GACGAACGCUGGCGGCGUGCUUAACACAUGCAAGUCGAACGGAAAGGCCCUGCUUUUGUGGGGUGCUCGAGUGGCGAACGGGUGAGUAACACGUGAGUAACCUGCCCUUGACUUUGGGAUAACUUCAGGAAACUGGGGCUAAUACCGGAUAGGAGCUCCUGCUGCAUGGUGGGGGUUGGAAAGUUUCGGCGGUUGGGGAUGGACUCGCGGCUUAUCAGCUUGUUGGUGGGGUAGUGGCUUACCAAGGCUUUGACGGGUAGCCGGCCUGAGAGGGUGACCGGCCACAUGGGGACGGAUAACCGCCCCAGACUCCACGGGGAGAAAGAGGGGGGGAAUAUGGAAGAUGGGGAGAGGGCUGGAGGCAGCAACGCCGGGGGGGGGAGGGGGGCCUGGGGGUAGAAAACCGCUUCCGCGUGGGAGGAAGGGUGGGGGGGGGAAAGGGAAAAAGAAGCACCGCAAAAACAGGUC
rnacentral:rRNA from 1 species